rnacentral:rRNA from 1 species
UAGGGAAUCUUCGGCAAUGGGGGCAACCCUGACCGAGCAACGCCGCGUGAGUGGAGAAGGUUUUCGGAUCGUAAAGCUCUGUUGUAAGAGAAGAACGUGUGUGAGAGUGGAAAGUUCACACAGUGACGGUAACUUACCAGAAAGGGACGGCUAACUACGUGCCAGCAGCCGCGGUAAUACGUAGGUCCCGAGCGUUGUCCGGAUUUAUUGGGCGUAAAGCGAGCGCAGGCGGUUUAAUAAGUCUGAAGUUAAAGGCAGUGGCUUAACCAUUGUUCGCUUUGGAAACUGUUAAACUUGAGUGCAGAAGGGGAGAGUGGAAUUCCAGGUGUAGCGGUGAAAUGCGUAGAUAUAUGGAGGAACACCGGUGGCGAAAGCGGCUCUCUGGUCUGUAACUGACGCUGAGGCUCGAAAGCGUGGGGAGCAAACAGG